CGCAAUAUCACUUAUAGUUGAGAAUUGGACUAUUCCUCGACAGAGGCAUGUCUUCAAAAGGAUUCUUCAUACUUGCCUUCCCUUGCAUUUGGUUCCAAUGGAGUCCAACAAAGAACCUUCAUCCAAGAGAAGCAUUACUCCACUUGGGACAUCAGAGAAUUGACUGCACGUGAUUUCGCAGGGCUUUCUAUGUCUGCUCCGUCACAUUUUGUGAUCAUCCUUCACAAUUUUUGAUCAUCAUGUCUUCCUGGUCCAUCUGCUCAUCUCAGCAUCCUGGCUGAGAAGUGAGAACCACAAUUGUCCCACAGCAGGCAUAUCAGAGCAAGCAUGUCUGUCCCAAUGUCUAUGCUCAAACAUUUUACGGCAGUUCAAGCAAUCAAACUACAGUUCCCUUCCUCACGAUGUCGAAUGGAGGAACAUUUUUUCAGUGAUGGAACAAUCUUCCUGGAUGAAGAUGCAUUUGUCCAAAACUGUUAACAUGUACUCUAUUAUUAUUUAAUGUUGGGCGUGGUAUGAUGUAACAAUGUGGUAUUCUAUUGCGUAAUUGCGUUGCGUGGCAUGGAGUUAUGUAUCAAAUGGUGGCAGCUAUAGCUUCUGCUCUGCCUGAUCUAUCUAGCCGUCCUUCUGUACGAGGCAAGAUCUCAA